rnacentral:lncRNA from 1 species
GUUGAAAAAUAGUCUACAAAUUGUGUUUUUUAGGUUAAGUUUUAUGUCGCGUGUAUUGGGCUGUAGGCCCAAUAAUAAAUGGACUGAACAUCAUGCAAAACUUUGCAAUCUACGAAAGGGUGUUUCAUCCUCCACCUCCAAGCUUUCAUCCUGCACCUCCAAAAAUUACCAUUUUAACCUUAAUUAAUAUUAUUUUAAUAUUUUCUCUUUCUU